GCCUGCAAAGCAGAUGGUGGAGCGCGCAGCGGGGAGAGGCGCCGCCAGCUGCCCCGUGCUCUCCCCCGCGCCUUGUACUCGCUCUACACUAGGCAGGGCCGGGCUGGGAGGCCGCCAGCCCCGGAAAGCCACCGCUGGGGGCUUUUGGUAGUUGUGAAGGAAUCACGCAGCUUGACCAGAGAUGUCCUGCUGUGGCCAAGCAGGUACACCCGUUGUGCAAGGGCUGCAUCUCUUUAACACUUGUUGGGAAGCAGUGGACAGCACAGUCACUAUCCUGUACCAUUCAGUUUUAAGGAAAGAUGACUGUCCAUGGACCAGACUUCCAAGAAGUAGAGCCUGGUGGCUCUGGUGUAGGAGAUGUAGGCUCUGCUCAGAGAGCUUGACCCCCAAUAUCUCCAUGGGAGAUGCUGAGUAUAAUGACGGACAAGAAUACAACAGAAUGUCUGAAUGAACCUGCAGUUCUUAGCCCUUGAACUUAUGGAGCAAUUCCAUCAGCCACCAUUCCCUUUUCUGGGACCCAGGCUGAAGACACAGCUCUUUCCUGGACAUUGUGAGUCUCAUGGGAGAGGAGAUGAGGGAUGGAAGAAUCACCUAUCCAUUAAAGCAUCCAUUAAUGGUCAUUAAAGCUUCUGCACAGAAGUAGCACAUGCCACUUCCACUCACAUUUCAUUGGCCAAAGUGAGUCAGAUGGACAGACAUGAACACAAUAGGGUGGGAAGAGUAUAAUCUUCCCAUGGGGAUAGUCUCUGUUGGGUGGGCCCAUUUAGGUGGUCCUUGUAAGAGGAGCAGCUGAUAUUUUGAAGAGUAAUGCAAUAUACCCCACUACUCUAUUGCAAAAUAAAUUUUA